AGGGGUGUAGCUCUAACUGGCUAGAGCGCCGGUAUCCAAAGCCGGAGGUUGGGGGUUCGAGUCCCUCCACCCCUGCCA
rnacentral:tRNA from 1 species